GCCGGGGCGAGCGGGGCGGCGCCUGCGGAACCACCUCGGCGGCGCGGCGGGGGCCGCCCUCUUUCGGCGACCGCAGCCACGGCGGAGCGCAGCGGCGCGGGGCCGGGACGGCCGCCGUGAGGCGAGGCGAGGGUGCCGGGCCGCCUGCCCCGUCCCUACCGCCAUGAGGUGAGGGCUUCCAGCUGAUAUGCAGCUAAGUGUGUGUGAAGGGAUGGCUGUAAAUCGGAGGUCUCGGGUGGCAAGAGAGCCGUCUGGAAGAUACAGCUGUCAGGCAAACAGUUCGCAUGUUUCGCUGCAGGUGGGGGCUCGCUGGAGCAGCAGUGGUUGUGAGAAGAAAAGAAAUAAGCUGUGGGCGCUGCUUUGAAGAUGCCCAUUUGAAAGAGAUUGAGAAGAUGGAAAUGUAGAGUCCACGACUUAAAUGGGACUACUGGAGAAGUACUUGUUUUCAGGAUCUGGGUGUAGUAACUUGAAACAUCAGAGGUGGUUGGGGCAAGGUAUAACAAGAAUUACGUAUACAAUUUGCUGUUAAUCCCCUCUCACUGCUUGUUUAAAAUUAUAUUUUUUCUGUGACCUAUUUAUUAAACUUAUUUGAACUUGA